rnacentral:lncRNA from 10 species
GGGAAGGAGAACUCCACCUGUUCCCCCUCUUUCUUAUAGACUAUGCUGGAGGCCUUCUGGAAAGCUGGAGCAUUUUCCUACAGCAGGCCACCUCCCUCCUCCCGGAAGCCAUCACAGAGCAGCCCAGCCACAGGGGAUCCUUGCUGUCCUUAGGAUUCCUGGACCACAGAAGCCAUUUGGCCUCCACUCCUUAGAGGCGUAUUCAUCACCCUUCACAAAAUAACAGCGAACACUUAACUAGGGCUUACUCUGUGCCAGGCACCAUUUUCAGUGCCUUACGUAUAUCAGUCCUCAACUUAAUACGAGGUAGUCACUAUGGCAGUUAACAUCAUCCCCAUUUCACAGAGGCUGAAACCAAGGUGCAGAGAGGUUUAGUAACUCACCCAAGGUCACAUGGUUGUGGCAGAACCAGGAUUUCAAUCAGCGUACAUGCACUAAACUGGCACACUACCUUAUGUCUACCUUAAGUCACAUAAGCACCCAGGGGACAGGAUCUGGGGUAGGACCUUGGUCUCCCCACAGUGGCCUGGCUUAGAGGUCCAGAGGUACAACAUAGAACAUCAUCAGGGUUGGCUUACUGGUGUUAGUGUCCCUGAGUAAGUGGAUUUGCCAACUUGGUAGGGGUGUGGAGCUGAGGCAACAAAGAAAGUAAGCUCCCUGACAUUCCUCCUUUGGGGCCUCCAAAGGAGACUCGGGCCUCUAGCAUCCUUACCUUCCCCAGCCUUUCCUUUCUCCAUGUCCACCACACUGAGGGGUGGCUGCCAAUCAGCCCCCUGAGGAUGAGGGCCCCAGUGAGUCCUUCAAGACAGGCCUCAGCUCUAGGGGACCUAGUCUUCUCCACUCCUGACCUCCCAGCACCAGAACCAGAAACAGGGCAGUCAGAGCAGAGGGAGGGG